GGGAACGUCUGAUGAUACUGCCGGUGAUAAGCCGGAGGAAGGCGGGGAUGACGUCAAGUCCUCAUGGCCCUUACGGCCUGGGCUACACACGUACUACAAUGGUGGUGACAAUGAGCAGCUAGGUAGCAAUACCAUGCAAAUCUCCAAAAGCCACCUCAGUUCAGAUUGCACUCUGCAACUCGAGUGCAUGAAGUUGGAAUCGCUAGUAAUCGUGGAUCAGCAUGCCACGGUGAAUACGUUCCCGGGUCUU
rnacentral:rRNA from 1 species